rnacentral:rRNA from 1 species
GUGAGGUGGAGCAAAACUCAAAAACUUGUCUCAGUUCGGAUUGUAGGCUGAAACUCGCCUACAUGAAGCUGGAGUUGCUAGUAAUCGCGAAUCAGCAUGUCGCGGUGAAUACGUUCCCGGGCCUUGUACACACCGCCCGUCACACCAUGAGAGUUGGCAAUACCCAACGUACGUGAUCUAACCCGCAAGGGAGGAAGCGUCCUAAGGUAGGGUCAGCGAUUGGGGUGAAGUCGUAACAAGGUACC